rnacentral:rRNA from 1 species
CCCUGGUAGUCCACGCUGUAAACGAUGUCGACUUGGAGGUUGUGCCCUUGAGGCGUGGCUUCCGGAGCUAACGCGUUAAGUCGACCGCCUGGGGAGUACGGCCGCAAGGUUAAAACUCAAAUGAAUUGACGGGGGCCCGCACAAGCGGUGGAGCAUGUGGUUUAAUUCGAUGCAACGCGAAGAACCUUACCUACUCUUGACAUCCAGAGAACUUAGCAGAGAUGCUUUGGUGCCUUCGGGAACUCUGAGACAGGUGCUGCAUGGCUGUCGUCAGCUCGUGUUGUGAAAUGUUGGGUUAAGUCCCGCAACGAGCGCAACCCUUAUCCUUUGUUGCCAGCGAUUCGGUCGGGAACUCAAAGGAGACUGCCAGUGAUAAACUGGAGGAAGGUGGGGAUGACGUCAAGUCAUCAUGGCCCUUACGAGUAGGGCUACACACGUGCUACAAUGGCGCAUACAAAGAGAAGCGAACUCGCGAGAGCAAGCGGACCUCAUAAAGUGCGUCGUAGUCCGGAUCGGAGUCUGCAACUCGACUCCGUGAAGUCGGAAUCGCUAGUAAUCGUGGAUCAGAAUGCCACGGUGAAUACGUUCCCGGGCCUUGUACACACCGCCCGUCACACCAUGGGAGUGGGUUGCAAAAGAAGUAGGUAGCUUAACCUUCGGGAGGGCGCUUACCACUUUGUGAUUCAUGACUGGGGUGA